UACGUAGGGGGCAAGCGUUGUCCGGAUUUAUUGGGCGUAAAGAGCGUGUAGGCGGCCAGGUAGGUCAGCUGUGAAAACUCGAGGCUCAACCUCGAGACGUCGGCGGAAACCAUCUGGCUAGAGUCCGGAAGAGGAGAGUGGAAUUCCUGGUGUAGCGGUGAAAUGCGCAGAUAUCAGGAAGAACACCCGUGGCGAAGGCGGCUCUCUGGGACGGUACUGACGCUGAGACGCGAAAGCGUGGGGGAGCGAACAGG
rnacentral:rRNA from 1 species